rnacentral:rRNA from 1 species
UGGGGAAUAUUGCACAAUGGGGGAAACCCUGAUGCAGCGACGCCGCGUGGGCGAAGAAGGCUUUCGAGUCGUAAAGCUCUGUCCUAUGAGAAGAUAAUGACGGUAUCAUAGGAGGAAGCCCUGGCUAAAUACGUGCCAGCAGCCGCGGUAAUACGUAGGGGGCUAGCGUUAUCCGGAUUUACUGGGCGUAAAGGGUGCGUAGGUGGUCUUUCAAGUCGGUGGUUAAAGGCUACGGCUCAACCGUAGUUAGCCUCCGAAACUGGAAGACUUGAGUGCAGGAGAGGAAAGUGGAAUUCCCAGUGUAGCGGUGAAAUGCGUAGAUAUUGGGAGGAACACCAGUAGCGAAGGCGGCUUUCUGGACUGCAACUGACACUGAGGCACGAAAGCGUGGGUAGCAAACAGG